AGAGCGAACGCUGGCGGCAGGCCUAAUACAUGCAAGUCGAACGGAUCCUUCGGGAUUAGUGGCGGACGGGUGAGUAACACGUGGGAACGUGCCCUUUGGUUCAGAACAACUCAGGGAAACUUGAGCUAAUACUGGAUAAGCCCUCAUCCUUAAACAGAUGAGUGGGAAAGAUUUAUCGCCAUUGGAGCGGCCCGCGUCUGAUUAGCUAGUUGGUAGGGUAAAGGCCUACCAAGGCUUCGAUCAGUAGCUGGUCUGAGAGGAUGAUCAGCCACACUGGGACUGAGACACGGCCCAGACUCCUACGGGAGGCAGCAGUAGGGAAUCUUGCGCAAUGGGCGAAAGCCUGACGCAGCCAUGCCGCGUGAAUGAUGAAGGUCUUAGGAUUGUAAAAUUCUUUCAGCGGGGACGAUAAUGACGGUACCGCAGAAGAAGCCCGGCUAACUUCGCGCCAGCAGCCGCGGUAA
rnacentral:rRNA from 1 species